AAGGCAAACUGCGAUCGCAGCAGAAUGUGUUCACCAAAGCCACAACCAAAAACGAUGCAGCAGUGAAAGCUAGCUUUAUGGUGGCUGAAGAAAUCGCCCGCGCUUCAGUCUUUUUCAGAGGGUGCGUUUUUGAAGCAGUGCAUGCUGAAGGUGUGUGAGCAGGUGUGCCCCGACCAGAUACAGACUUUUAAAAAUGUCAGUUUGUCAAGAAACACCAUCGCGGACCGAGUCAAGGAGCUAGCAGCAAACCUGUCAACACAGCUGGCCGAAGAGUCACGCAGUUACACAGCUUUUUCAUUAGCUGUUGAUGAACGCACAGACAACACGGAUACGGCACAGCUAAGCUAAUAGAACAUGAUCAAUGGAUGAGGAUGGUGGAGUGGAUCCACUUGGUGUGUUCAAGGACAGGCAGCAUAUCCUCAUCAUUUUCAACUCAUAGUUGUGAACUGAGACAACCCUAUUUUAUUAUUUUGAGUUUGUUACAUAUACUGCUUUUUGUGUAGUAAUGUAUUUGUUGUUUACAGGUUUAUGCACACAAAUGUUUACUCCUGCAAGGCUGUGUGCAGCCAUUUGAUUUUGUAAAAUGCUACAUCUGUCACACAUGUUCUUAGCAGCUCACUAUAGUUGGUUGUACGUUAUUCUGACCCUCUCGACUGUGACAAAAUUUUUUUGAAGGAAGUUAAUGUGUUUUAAUAUUUUUCUUUGAAUAGUUUGAUCAUUGAUAAAUAGAGUAAUGUGGGUUUCUUAACCUGACAAAUUAAAAGGAUUUAUGUUAUAGUAACAGAGCAACAAGCAACACUUUUUUUUUUUUACAUCUAUGCAAAUGCAUAUGUAAUAUUUGUAACUAAGUAAUAAAUACAGAAAGUUAUUUAACAAUA